rnacentral:lncRNA from 1 species
AUUUUGUUUUAAAUAUUCACUGACUCCAGAGUCAGGAAUAUUACACGCAAAACCACCGUAGCAUAAACCAACAAAACAUUAGCAAUUUAUGACAAAGUCAGCAAUGCAGUCUGCCUUAGGCAGGACGCUUAAGGGGUGAUAAUAUCUUCCCUUUUGCGUAACCAGUCUCGUACCAUGGAAUCUCUGUUGACCAGUUAGGGUUCCUAGUGACCAUAAUACUAGGUGGCGACUCCUUAAACAAAGAAUAUCCUCAUUAAAGAACAGGAUGCCAGAAAUCCGUUCUUUCCAAAGAUUUAAAAAAAUUUUAAGGCCGCCGCGAUGUCGGGUGCGACAGAAUGGCGACUCCGCUGGGGACAAUGGACUAAGCUUUGCCUUUUGUUUGUUAAUUGCUAUUUUGUUUGUUGUGUUUAUUUGUUUAUUUUUCUUGCAUUUACUACUUUAACGUGCAUCCUUGUUUAUAUUGUCAUGCAUCAUGUUAAGAGCACACACCUUAAAAUCUAGGAUAGGUGGGGGAGUAACGGUACCCCAACGGCUUUAGCCUGGGUAAGACUCGUGAAACCAUCCAACUCUCGCUUGAUUGUUUACUUGGAAGUGGUUGAUAUGCCAAACUGAUAUUACU